UACAGAGGGUGCGAGCGUUAAUCGGAAUUACUGGGCGUAAAGCGUGCGUAGACGGUAGCGUAAGUCAGAUGUGAAAGCCCCGGGCUCAACCUGGGAAUUGCAUUUGAGACUGCUCUGCUCGGGUGCGGAAGAGGGAAGCGGAAUUUCCGGUGUAGCGGUGAAAUGCGUAGAUAUGCGGAGGAACACCGAUGGCGAAGGCAAUCCCCUGGACCUGUACUGACGCUCAUGCACGAAAGCGUGGGGAGCAAACAGG
rnacentral:rRNA from 1 species